CUACGGGUCGCUGCAGUGGGGAAUAUUGCACAAUGGGCGAAAGCCUGAUGCAGCAAUGCCGCGUGUGUGAAGAAGGCCUGCGGGUUGUAAAGCACUUUCAGUAGGGAGGAACAAGUAACGGUUAAUACCCGUUACCCUGACGUUACCUACAGAAGAAGCACCGGCUAACUCUGUGCCAGCAGCCGCGGUAAUACAGAGGGUGCAAGCGUUAAUCGGAAUUACUGGGCGUAAAGCGCGCGUAGGCGGUUUGGUCAGUCGGAUGUGAAAGCCCCGGGCUUAACCUGGGAAUUGCAUUCGAUACUGCCAGGCUGGAGUGUAGUAGAGGGAAGUGGGAUUCCGGGUGUAGCGGUGAAAUGCGUAGAUAUCCGGAGGAACAUCAGUGGCGAAGGCGACUUCCUGGACUAACACUGACGCUGAGGUGCGAAAGCGUGGGGAGCAAACAGGAUUAGAUACCCCAGUAGUC
rnacentral:rRNA from 1 species